rnacentral:lncRNA from 1 species
UUUUUUUUUUUUUUUUUUUUUUUUUGACUGGUUGAGUCAGAUCAACACCCGGGGCAGCAUUCAUUUCCACAUUCACAUCACCAGUGGACACAUUUCGAAGGUCUUUCAUUUCCUGUUUGAGGAACAGAAAGAUUUAUUGGCUACACGAGGACCAUAAUGAACUCUCUUUUGGCUGGGAAAAGUAUAACUUUUGUGUCACCUCCUCGUGGUUCUUCUUCAGAUAGGCCAGCUCUUCAGUCAGGCUCUCAAUUUGCAUCUCCAGGUCGGUCCUGGUCAGGGUCAGCUCGUCCAGCACCCGGCGCAGGCCAUUGAUGUCGG